CUUCAAACUGUCAGCACAGAGCUUGAUGCAGGGCUCGAACCCAUGAAAUGCUCAUCAUCAACUGCCAAAUGAUCAUCACUUCCCAGAAAAUGUGUUUCCUGAUCUCACAUCAAGUCUUUCUUCAUGCCAAGUGACUACCAAGUAUACCCCUUCCUGUCCUUCCCAUAGUUUCUCUUUUUUAUCCACAGAAGAAAAAAAGGAAAGAGUAAAAAGCCCGUCGCCAAGCAGUUCAUCACCUCACUUGUGGGGAAAGUCAGAGUAAUACACAUCCUGUGGUAACUGAGAGGGAUACAGGAUAGGCUAUUUUGGGGCUCACUAGAGAAAUAUAAAUCUUUUGAAAUUUUUCCACUUA